AUUGAACGCUGGCGGCAGGCCUAACACAUGCAAGUCGAACGGUAACAGGAAACAUCUUGCUGUUUCGCUGCCGAGUGGCGGGCGAGUGGGCCAUGUCUGGGAAACUGCCUGCUGGAGGGGGUUCUCUACUGGAAACGGUUGCUACUACCGCAUAUCGUCGCAAGAUGAAAGAGCGGGCGCUUCAGGACUCUUGCCGUCAGGUAUGAGCAGAUGGAGGUAGCUAGCAGGUGGGGUAACGGCUCACCUAGGCGACGAUCCUUAGCUGGUCUGAGAGGAUGACCAGCCACACUGGAACUGAGACACGGUCCAGACUCCUACGGGAGGCAGCAGUGGGGAAUAUUGCACAAUGGGCGAAAGCCUGAUGCAGCCAUGCCGCGUGUAUGAAGAAGGACUUCGGGUUGUAAAGUACUUUCGGCGGGGAGGAAGGGAAGAAAGUUAAUACCUUGGCUUAUUGACGUUACCCGCAGAAGAAGCACCGGCUAACUCCGUG
rnacentral:rRNA from 1 species